rnacentral:rRNA from 1 species
GAUGAACGCUGGCGGCGUGCCUAAUACAUGCAAGUCGAGCGAACAGACGAGGAGCUUGCUCCUCUGACGUUAGCGGCGGACGGGUGAGUAACACGUGGAUAACCUACCUAUAAGACUGGGAUAACUUCGGGAAACCGUAGCUAAUACCGGAUAAUAUAUUGAACCGCAUGGUUCAAUAGUGAAAGACGGUUUUGCUGUCACUUAUAGAUGUAUCCGCGCCGCAUUAGCUAGUUGGUAAGGUAACGGCUUACCAAGGCAACGAUGCGUAGCCGACCUGGGAGGGUGAUGGGCCCCUCUGGAACUGAGCCACGGCACUGACUCUUACGGGCGGCCGCGGUAGGGACUCUUCCGCGCUGGGCGGAAUCUUGCCGGAGCAACGCCGGCUGAGUGAUGAAGGUCUUCGGAUCGUAAAACUCUGUUAUUAGGGUAGAACAAAUGCGUAAGUAACUAUGCACGUCUUGACGGUACCUAAACAGAAAGCCCCGGCUAACUACGUG